AGUGAACGCUGGCGGCAGGCCUAACACAUGCAAGUCGAACGGCAGCACCGUAAGAGCUUGCUCUUACGGGUGGCGCGUGGCGGACGGGUGAGGAAUACAUCGGAGUCUACUUUUUCGUGGGGGAUAACGUAGGGAAACUUACGCUAAUACCGCACACGACCUACGGGUGAAAGCAGGGGAUCUUCGUACCUUGCGCGAUUGAAUGAGCCGAGGUCGGAUUAGCUAGCUGGCUGGGUAAAGGCCCACCAAGGCGACGAUCCGUAGCUGGUCUGAGAGGAUGAGGAGGCCGGCCGGAACGGAGACACGGUCCAGACCCGUACGGGAGGCGGGGGUGGGGUAUAUUGUACUAUGGGAGGAAGGCUGACCCAGCCAUACCGCGUGGGUGAAGAAGGCCUUCGGGUCGUGAAGCCCUUUUGUUGGGAAAGAAAAGCAGCAGGUGUAUGCGCGGUUGUGCUGACGGUACCCGAAGAUUAAGCACCGGCUAACUUCGUG
rnacentral:rRNA from 1 species